rnacentral:misc_RNA from 1 species
AAUCAUCAAAACCUUUUCCUCUUUGAUCCCAAAUUUAUUUUGGUUGGGAAAAGGAUUUUGGACUUGGAGGGUUCCAUGCUUGCUUUCUUUUGAAAGCGAGCUCCUCUCAAAUGAAUCAGUGGGGUCCGCUUUGCCGAUCCUUGACGUGAUAAGAUGCUUCUACGUUUUGGAUUUGGCACUGUCCCUUGGAUGCCUGCUCCUAACUGUCCCCAUGGACGAUGAUGGUGCUCCGGUCGACCGCCGUCUACGUUGGCGGGGGGAGGCUGGACCCACGAAAAGAAAA